UUACUGGUUGGUCCCCUACUGGAUCUCAGAUAAUGAAAUCAUUCUUCUAUCAUUUUGUUAUUAUAGUCCUGAUUUUAUUGUGUAUGAUUUUAUAUAACUGUCACCUUACUUGUACAUUGAGGAAGAGAGUACAGAAAUGAAUCCAUAAUGCAGAACAGAAACAAUUAGAAAUUCUCCUCUCUGCCACUGUAGAGUAUCAACCCAUCUUUAAACUGGGCCUUAGGAAUUACCACAUGGGAAUCGAGGUGAAGAAAUUAAUGAAAGUCCCGCAGGGAGUGACUAGCACCCUUGAAAAUACCAUGUGGAAGUUUCUCUGUCCUGGUAAGAUUUUAUCGAUAAGAUGAGCAAUUGUUUUAUUGCUCAAAGAGGGGAAUGUAAGAAUAUUAAAUAGUUAACUUGUUUAUAUGUAUUUUAUGCUUUUAUAAGGUUUAUAACAUGAUUAUUGCUGACUGAAGGAAUAUUGAAUACUUAAAACUCAAUAUACGACAUAAUAUGCUGACUGUGACAGACUAAGGUAUUUCUUCUAUAGGAUGUAAGACAAUGCUAAAUUUCAGGAUGUCUUGCCCAUUCCGAUUUUAAGGUUAUUCUUUUCCAGACGUAUGCAAAAGCUUAUCUUUCCAUUGUCAGAAUAACGUAAUAUAAGGAAGUAAUAAAUCUUAUAGUCUGUACUGUAUUUGCAUAUACCAUGGCUAAUGUAAGCAAACUAUGUAUAAAAGCCAGCUCUGGAAUACACUCAUUUGAGAGUCUUGUAAA